AUUCUGAUGACGAGUCACGAAUAGGACGAAACGCGCAUCCUGGAU
rfam:Schistosoma rodhaini strain Burundi genome assembly, scaffold: SROB_scaffold0017743